rnacentral:rRNA from 1 species
CCUACGGGCGGCAGCAGUGGGGAAUAUUGGACAAUGGGGGCAACCCUGAUCCAGCCAUGCCGCGUGUGUGAAGAAGGCCCUCGGGUUGUAAAGCACUUUCAGUGAGGAAGAACGCCUGGUGGUUAAUACCCAUCAGGAAAGACAUCACUCACAGAAGAAGCACCGGCUAACUCCGUGCCAGCAGCCGCGGUAAUACGGAGGGUGCGAGCGUUAAUCGGAAUUACUGGGCGUAAAGCGCGCGUAGGUGGCUUGAUAAGCCGGUUGUGAAAGCCCCGGGCUCAACCUGGGAACGGCAUCCGGAACUAUCAAGCUAGAGUGCAGGAGAGGAAGGUAGAAUUCCCGGUGUAGCGGUGAAAUGCGUAGAGAUCGGGAGGAAUACCAGUGGCGAAGGCGGCCUUCUGGACUGACACUGACACUGAGGUGCGAAAGCGUGGGUAGCAAACAGGAUUAGAUACCCCUGUAGUC